UACGUAGGGUGCGAGCGUUGUCCGGAAUUAUUGGGCGUAAAGAGCUCGUAGGCGGUCUGUCGCGUCUGCUGUGAAAACUCGGGGCCUAACCCCGGGCCUGCAGUGGGUACGGGCAGACUAGAGUGCGGUAGGGGAGACUGGAAUUCCUGGUGUAGCGGUGAAAUGCGCAGAUAUCAGGAGGAACACCGAUGGCGAAGGCAGGUCUCUGGGCCACUACUGACGCUGAGAAGCGAAAGCUGGGGAGCGAACAGG
rnacentral:rRNA from 1 species